CUGUCUCCACAGCUAUGCCUAAUAUCCAUUCAUUAAGCUAUCCCUCUGCAUUUGUUAUAUGUGUGCUCUAGGAUCUAUGCCAGUCCCUGAAAACACCAAGCCAGAUAUGGAAGUUGUUGCUCUUCAUAAGGCAACUAAUAGAAGUUGGGAAAAAGUUGAUGGAAAAAUCAUGGCUAUCAUUUGUGCAACCAACAAGGCUGAGCAAGCCUUGAAGAACAAGCCAGUAAGCAGCAUGCCUCCAUAGCCUCUGCAUCAGCUCCUGCCUCCAGGCUCCCUCUUUAUUGAGUUCCUGUCCUGAGUUCCUUCGAUGAUGACAAGUGCUGUGAAUGUGUAAGCCUAACAAAUUCUUCCCUCACCAACACUUCUGUUCAUGGUCUUUCAUCACAAUAGAAAACAUAACUAGGGCACUUGAUUUCGUGCUCUUAGGAGGAUGGGGUAGUUCUUAGGGAAUUCUUAUAAGAUCUUGACAGGUAUCGCCACUGUGGUUUACAAGUAAAAUAUGUUUCCAAUCAUUCAGAGAUGACAAGGCUGGAGAGUGUGAGCGGAUCCACAGGGGGGCAAGAAAGCAGGAUGUUUUACCAUGAUCUGCUUAGUCCUCUGGGAAUGGGGGCAAAGAUUGAGGAGGUAUUCUGCUUCAGAGAUGCGAUGACACCAGGGGAUUGAAUUUUGAAGAAGGAAAGUGUGUGAAAAUCUGAAGCUAGCCUACCAGCUUUGCUGGUCUACUUGCUUCUCUGGCAGGCUUGGCUAUAAGGUUGCCAAAGGAAUGCUUGCUGGAGCUUGUGGCUGGGAUAACAGGAUAAGUUGAGAGGAAAGUUGGAAGACAACAUCUGAGUGAUCUGUUGGAAGCAGAGAAGGGGAGGACACAGCAUAUGUUCUGCUAGGUUGGAAACAACCUCGAGACUGGGGAAUUGGCUUUGGGUUGGGUUGGUGGCCGUUGAUUGCAGAAAUCAUGAUAUAAAGGGAUAAUAAGAAAUAUUAAGUUUAAGCUCAGCAGGAAGAUGAUUCCACUGUCUGUUAGGCUGGAGAAACAGAAAGAGAAAGUAGUGACAUGGUAACCCAAUGGAUAUGGGUCUCAGUAAUUACUGGGACUCCCGUGGCCUUGGGGAACUGGAUGAUGAAACCUUCACUCAACUCACAGAGAGGAGAGUGGAAAGAUUCUUACUCCAGUGUUGUAGGUAUUACCACUGCACUCUGGAAGAACGAAUCUCCAUUUAUCCCUGAAUCCUGGUAGAAGAAACUUGAGAGCUGAGGAAAGAUAACCAACACAUCUGGAAGCAGGCCAGGGCUAAUAUAAUCAACUUUAUCAUUUCUUUUUUCUUACUUUCUUGAACCAAAGAUCUAUUUAUACUUGGUGUUCACAUUUACUACAUUUAAGCUUCCAUUUGUCCUGGGACUGCAAUUAACUGAACAAAUGUGAAGCAUUCCUGCAACCCAGCCAGGAAAAUCCAAGUUCUAUUGGCAUGGUAACUAGCCCACCUUUGACAUUUGCCUAGUGUAAGCAGUGCUCCUGUGACUCUCAUGGGUCUAGUGGAAUCAACAUUUCUUUUACAAGAUGUUAGGGGAAUUUUAUUUUUUAAAAAUUACUAUGGAGAAAAUUAAAACAAACUUCAUAGUUAAGACAUUCUUCAUGGUUUUUUCUUUUUAAAUUCACCAUGAUGUGCAAACUUAGCAGCAUUCUUUACAGUUCACUCUGAAUCUGUGAUUAUUUCUCUUAUGUAAUUUUUAAAGCAUUGUAUGAUUCUUUCUACUUUUCCCUAAAAGUCAGCUAACAAUUUCUCUUUCUAUGUCUCCUUUUCCCUCUUUGUUCCUGUCUCUUACUGAAAGAACAAGUUUGAAAAUUGUUGGCAAGUUUGUAUUAUUUUUCUAUAUCAAAAUUUCCAUGUUACAAUAGUUAGAAUGGCUAAGACCAAAAACUCAAGUGAUAGCACAUGCUGGCGAGGAUGUGAAGCAAGAGGAAGACUCAUCCAUUGCUGGUGGGAGUGCAAACUUGUGCAACACUAUGGAAAUCAAGUUGGUGGUUUCUCAGAAAACUUGGAAUAGUUCUACCUCAAGAUCCAUCUAUACCACCUCUGGGCAUAUAACCAAAAGCUGUUUCAACAUCCCACAAAGACACUUGCUCAACUAUGUUCAUCGCAGCCUUGUUUGUAAUAGACAGAAACUGAAAACAACCUAGAUGUCCUUCAACUGAAGAAUGGUUAAAGAAAAUGUGGCACAUCUACACAACGGAAUAAUAUUUAGUUAUUAAAAACAAAGACAACACGAAUUUUUCAGACCAAUAGAAUGUUAUCCUGAGUGAGGUAACCCAGUCCCCAAAGGACAUGCAUGACAACAGCCUAGCCUCUGAGAAGCUCAUUCCAGCGGCUGACUCAGAUGGAUGCAGACACCUACAGCCAAACAGUGGAUGGAGCUUUGAGACUCUUACAGAAGAGUUGGGGGAAGGAUUGCCAGCACCAAAGAAGAUAGAAAUUCUACAGGAAGACCAACAGAGUCAACUGAUCUGGAGCCUUGGGGUUCCCAGAGACUAAACCACCCAACCAAAGAGGACCUAGACCCUACCCCUACCACUGCAUGUAUAUAGCAGAUGUGCAGCUUGAUCUUCCUGGAGCUGGGGCUAUCCCAAAAGCUGUUACCUGUCUGUGGGAUAUGUUCUAACUAGGCUGCCUUGUCUGGCCUCAGUGAUAAGAAGAUGUGCCUAGCCCAACAGAGACUUGAUGUACCAGGGUCAAGGGAUACUCAGAUGGGUGGGCUUACCUUCUCACAGAAGAAGGAAAGUGGAGGGGGAGGGGAUGACUGGGGGGAAGGGCAGUGAGAAGGAUAUAAACUGAAUAAAUAAAAAAAAUUUAUUGAAAAAUUUAAACUCAUUAAGUGAUAUUAAUAUAAAUGUCUUUAUUAACAUGAAGUAUUUUCUGUGAUUUUUAGAUUAGUUUUAUGAUCAUUUUCAUCUUCCUAACUUGGACAUUUUAUGUAUUUACAUAUUUUUCUUAUUUAUAGUUUUUUAUUACUAUGAAUUGGACUUUGAGAACUUUAGCUAUCUUUGGCUUUUGAGAUCCUUUGUCUCCACUCUUCACCCUAUUUCUUCCACUUUUUCAACCCUCCAACACUAGAUAGAAGAGAAAAAAGGAUAGAGGGGUAAGAGGAAAAAGAUCCUGAAUAAAGUCAGGGAUUGCAAAGGGAGCAGCAUUAUCAUUAGACUACUUCCUGCAGAUUAGGGGCAUUGAGUUCCUUGGGGUGAGUUUGAACUUCACUGUCAGGAUAUCUAAUUUCUUCUUGCUGUUGUUUCUUCUUUACACAGGACUACAUAACCAACCAUGACCAAACAGCAACCAAUGGCAACUAACAACCACCUACACCCCUCUUGGAUUCCUAGCAUUUAUAUACUCUCUGAAAUGUUCCCAGAA